AGUGUCCGCAGUGGCCAGGGAAUGGAGCAGCCCCCUCAGGGACUUCCUCUCUUUCAAGAGGGGCUUCUGUAGGGUCACCACCUGGGGAGGGAAUGGUAUGAGAGGUUACGGAUACGCUGCUGGGGAUGAAGACCUAAAAUUUAGAAAGAGUGGGGUCCUGCCGAGGGGCUUUAACCAGGUCAGAGCCCCAGGAAGAGAGAGAACCUCUAGACAUUGAGCUUCAGCCUCUUGGCCCAUCCCCCUCCGAGGGAGCGGGGGAGUCGAGUCUGUGGGCACUCUGUGUCCCUCCCCACGCGUGACGGCGCCCCGCGGGGAGGGAACAGUGCCCGGGGCAAGGAGCCUUUGCGCUCUAGCCAGUGCCCGUUGCUGCCUUGGCAUUUUCAAAGGGGAGGGACUGAGUCUGGGAAGGGGAAGGGGGAGGUGCGCUCCCUCUGGGGCCCCGACGCUUUGCCUUCAACCAGCCGGUACUUUUAGUGGAGAAACUGAGACCCUACAGUGGAGGGAUCUUGGCGCAGAUUCACUCAGACCCCGAGGUGACGAUAGAGACCUGGGUGGUUUAGGAUGUUUGCUUAAGUGGGUUUGGGAAAAACCGGUAUUCGUAUUUAAGUGCCCGACCCAAAGAAUGGUAGUCUCUGAGGGACGCUUACAACUGGGCUGGCGAUGCUAUAGACCCCAAAAGGGCCCCUCCUACUCGUUUCAAACGGAGUCAAAUCCCGCUCUCUAGGACCAGGUUCGGCUUCGCAGCAGCAGGCCAGGCGGAACCGGGUCGGACUUGUUCUCUUUCCCAGCUCCCUCCGCAGGGGGCCUCCUUCCCUUUCCAGCAGGUGGCUCCGCAGGACACCAGCUCAACCUGUUGGACCACAAUGGGCGGUGCCAGGGGGGCCCUGGCCCUCACCCGGGCUGACCCGGGAUCCCCAAGCAGGGGGAGGGGUGGAGUCGGCCCUUCCCUCCCUCUUUCUCCCCCCCCCCCCCCCCCCAUGACUCAGCCUCGAGGCCGCUGCUCUGCCCCUCAGCCAGGGGCGGAAAGUGUGAGGCGCCCCGGAGGGCUCAAGCCAAACUAAACAGCCCCUCACCCCAGACAUUAUCUCACUGGAGAAUUAGGGGGGCAAUAGGGACCAGUGGCUAGCAUGAGGAACUCUGGCUCAAGCAAUCCGUUCCGGGUUUUCCUAUCUGUUUCUGUCCCGCUUUCCCCCGCCCCCAACACCAGCACGCCCUAGGUCAAGUCUGAUCUUUGCUCCAGGUUUUCCUAGCGGCCCCGCAGGACUGUCGGAAGGAUUCCGAGCAAGAUGUGUCUGGACUAGGGUUUUUCCCUUCCUUCUACUGUCAGGGUCCUGCUGACCAGGGAGUAAGCCGUGCUAGGCAACAGUACUAGACACCUAAGUAAAGUGGAGGGAAAACUGCUUUCACGAGAAGGGUACAAGAUCUAGGAAAAAGAUUUGGGAGAGGGUAGGAAAGUGGCCCAGGGCUCCAGAAGAGUGAGGGUCUUGUCACUAGCUCUAAGGGACUUAGACGCGAACCGCUUUGUUGUUCCACCCCUGCCUCUGGAAUUGCUUCUGGCUAGACACAACCCGGGUCUUUCUGCGGCUGGAUUAUCAUUCUUUAGCAGUUCUGGAAAUCUACUGUUAGUUCCUUAGUGGCUCUUUUCCAUUUCAUGUUUCCAUGUUUGCUUUUCCUUGUGGUACAAAUAGUUAUUAGUUCCCUUUCAUGUUGGGGGAACACGGACUUGAAAUUUCUGUCUAAAUCCCCUCCCCCGCUUUGGGUCGUAACUGCCAAACCAGAGACCGAGGCCAAGAAGCGCUGGUGGAACCCCGCCCCCUUAUUGGGAAUCUGGCGUCUCCCCUGACCCCCAUAUCAAUCCCAUAUACACCUGAGCUGCUAUAGAACUGGAAGGCAAGUGUGGGGUGUGCAGGGGCUUCCUGGUGAGCGUCCCCCAUCCUCACAUUCAGACUUACAUCUUCAGGCAACUUUCUAGAUUCUAGACUUUAAUGCACGAGAGAAGUAGGUGAGUAAAUACCCCGAGAAUGAGAUGUUUGCCCUGAGAAGGAUAAAAGCCGCAGCAAGAAGGACUUUAUAACUAAGGCUGGGAAUAGUGACUCUGGGUGGCGGCCUGGUUUCGAGACUGGCUGGUCCAAGUACACAGAAGAGUUGAGCAGCUACAAGUUUGCAGAGUCCCGGAGGAAGUGUGCGGCUGGAGGCGAGGCUUUCCAUGUCAGGGUCCUAAAGAGUCUUACUAUAUCGCUCCUGCUGUUCUCCACCUCCGGGGAUCAAACUGCCCACGUCAGCUUCCGGAAUCGAAGGGAAGAUAGAUGUGUGUGUGCUACCCACCUGGCAAGCCCUAAAGUUGAGAUGUGGAAACGUGGGUGCACUGAAUGUCUGUUCUACUAAAGAGUGUUGUUCUUCUGACCUUGGGAUGAAUCGCUUCCCUUCUUGGGCCUGUUUAUUCAAGUUAAUGUGAAAUAAUCCCCUUUAACAUUAGUUAUCUUUCCUA
rnacentral:lncRNA from 1 species